rnacentral:rRNA from 1 species
CGGCAUAACCCCGGGAAACUGGGGAUAAUUCCGGAUAACGCAAUAUAUGCUGGAAGUGCUUUAUGCGUAAAAUGGAUUCGUCUGCCCAAGGAUGGGUCUGCGGCCUAUCAGGUAGUAGUGGGUGUAAUGUACCUACUAGCCAACAACGGGUACGGGUUGUGAGAGCAAGAGCCCGGAGAUGGAUUCUGAGACAUGAAUCCAGGCCCUACGGGGCGCAGCAGGCGCGAAAACUUUACAAUGCGGGAAACCGUGAUAAGGGGACACCGAGUGCCAGCAUCAUAUGCUGGCUGUCCAGGUGUGUAAAAUACACCUGUUAGCAAGGGCCGGGCAAGACCGGUGCCAGCCGCCGCGGUAACACCGGCGGCCCGAGUGGUGAUCGUGAUUAUUGGGUCUAAAGGGUCCGUAGCCGGUUUGGUCAGUCCUCCGGGAAAUCUGAUGGCUCAACCAUUAGGCUUUCGGGGGAUACUGCCAGGCUUGGAACCGGGAGAGGUAAGAGGUACUACAGGGGUAGGAGUGAAAUCUUGUAAUCCCUGUGGGACCACCUGUGGCGAAGGCGUCUUACCAGAACGGGUUCGACGGUGAGGGACGAAAGCUGGGGGCACGAACCGGAUUAGAUACCCGGGUAGUCCCAGCCGUAAACGAUGCUCGCUAGGUGUCAGGCAUGGCGCGACCGUGUCUGGUGCCGCAGGGAAGCCGUGAAGCGAGCCACCUGGGAAGUAC